CAGGAUGAACGCUGGCGGCGUGCCUAAUACAUGCAAGUCGAACGAGGUAGCAAUACCGAGUGGCGAACGGGUGAGUAACACGUAGGUAACCUGCCCUUAAGCUUGGGAUACCCAGAGGAAACUUUGGCUAAUACCGGAUAACAACAGAGAAGGCAUCUUCUUUGCUUGAAAGGCCCCUUCAAGGGUCACUUAAGGAUGGACCUGCGGCGCAUUAGCUAGUUGGUGAGAUAACAGCCCACCAAGGCGAGGAUGCGUAGCCGAACUGAGAGGGUGAUCGGCCACAUUGGGACUGAGACACGGCCCAAACUCCUACGGGAGGCAGCAGUGGGGAAUAUUGGGCAAUGGGGGAAACCCUGAACCCCCAGCAACGCCGCGUGAGGGAAGAAGGUUUUCGGAUCGUAAACCUCUGUCCUAUGUGAAGAGAAAGAGACGGUAGCAUAGGAGGAAGCCCCGGCUAACUACGUGCCAGCCGCAGC
rnacentral:rRNA from 1 species